GACUGGAGGUUGUGCCCUUGAGGCGUGGCUUCCGGAGCUAACGCGUUAAGUCGACCGCCUGGGGAGUACGGCCGCAAGGUUAAAACUCAAAUGAAUUGACGGGGGCCCGCACAAGCGGUGGAGCAUGUGGUUUAAUUCGAUGCAACGCGAAGAACCUUACCUACUCUUGACAUCCAGAGAACUUUCCAGAGAUGGAUUGGUGCCUUCGGGAACUCUGAGACAGGUGCUGCAUGGCUGUCGUCAGCUCGUGUUGUGAAAUGUUGGGUUAAGUCCCGCAACGAGCGCAACCCUUAUCCUUUGUUGCCAGCGGUUAGGCCGGGAACUCAAAGGAGACUGCCAGUGAUAAACUGGAGGAAGGUGGGGAUGACGUCAAGUCAUCAUGGCCCUUACGAGUAGGGCUACACACGUGCUACAAUGGCGCAUACAAAGAGAAGCGACCUCGCGAGAGCAAGCGGACCUCAUAAAGUGCGUCGUAGUCCGGAUUGGAGUCUGCAACUCGACUCCAUGAAGUCGGAAUCGCUAGUAAUCGUAGAUCAGAAUGCUACGGUGAAUACGUUCCCGGGCCUUGUACACACCGCCCGUCACACCAUGGGAGUGGGUUGCAAAAGAAGUAGGUAGCUUAACCUUCGGGAGGGCGCUUACCACUUUGUGAUUCAUGACUGGGGUGAAGU
rnacentral:rRNA from 1 species